rnacentral:rRNA from 1 species
UACGUAGGGAGCGAGCGUUGUCCGGAAUUACUGGGUUUAAAGGGAGCGCAGACGGUGUGGCAAGUCUGAUGUGAAAUCCAUGGGCUCAACCCAUGAACUGCUUUCAAAACUGUUUUUCUUGAGUAGUGCAGAGGUAGGCGGAAUUCCCGGUGUAGCGGUGGAAUGCGUAGAUAUCGGGAGGAACACCAGUGGCGAAGGCGGCCUACUGGGCACCAACUGACGCUGAGGCUCGAAAGCUAGGGUAGCGAACGGG